rnacentral:sRNA from 1 species
GAAAGACGCGCAUUUGUUAUCAUCGUCAUCCCUGUUAUCAGAGAUGCAUAUUUGGCCACAUUGAUGUGGCCAUUU